rnacentral:lncRNA from 11 species
CAGAAAGUUGACAUUUGUCUUUUUCUUUGCAGUGUUAGAAGUCCCAAGAGUGUAAAAGGAAUGACCCAGGGAGUUCUCUACUAGGCUUCUGUAUAGCGUGGCCCAAGGGAAGCGGCUAUAUUUAUUUCCUGAAUGAGCCAAACCCACAAAACAAUGGACCCUGGCUGGAUCAAAAACAUUUUUCCUCAUCUUGAAGCUUUGAACCUCACCCAUGUGCUCAUGAAGGGGCCAGCAGCUAAUGGCAUGUAGACUGGUAGUGAUCUAUGGAAACCUACUUUGAGAAACACUGCUAGAAAGAAGAUGCAAUUUCUUCAUACUUUAUCAUUUCUUUCCAAC